ACCUCCAGGCCCAUAACCGGCACCACCAGCACCAACUCCUCCACCAGGUCCAAAGCCAGUACCAGUCCCACCAGGUCCAAAGCCAGUACCAGCUCCACCAGGUCCAAAGCCAGUACCAGCUCCACCAGGCCCGAAACCGGUACCGGCUCCACCAGGUCCAAAACCAGUACCGGCUCCACCAGGUCCAAAACCGGUGCCAGCUCCACCAGGUCCAAAACCGGUGCCAGCUCCACCAGGCCCAACUCCUCCACCAGGUCCAAAGCCGGUACCAGCUCCACCAGGCCCAACUCCUCCACCAGGUCCAAAGCCGGUAGCAGCUCCACCAGGUCCAAAGCCAGUACCAGCACCACCAGGCCCAACUCCUCCACCAGGUCCAAAGCCGGUACCAGCUCCUCCAGGUCCAAAGCCGGUACCAGCACCACCAGGGCCGACUCCUCCACCAGGUCCAAAGCCGGUACCAGCGCCACCUGGGCCAACUCCUCCACCAGGUCCAAAGCCGGUACCAGCGCCACCAGGACCAACUCCUUGACCAGGUCCAAAGCCGGUACCAGUGCCACCAGGCCCAACUCCACCACCAGGACCAAUACUGGAACCAGCUCCACCGGGGCCAACUCCUCCCCCAGGCCCAAAGCCAGUUCC
ensembl:lncRNA